rnacentral:rRNA from 1 species
CGGGUGAGUAACACGUGAGCAACCUGCCCUGAAGUGGGGGAUAGCCCGGGGAAACUCGGAUUAAUACCGCAUAUGGUCUUCGGGUCAAAGAUGGCGUAAGCUAUCGCUUUGGGAUGGGCUCGCGGCCUAUCAACUAGUUGGUGAGGUAACGGCUCACCAAGGCGACGACGGGUAGCUGGUCUGAGAGGACGAUCAGUCACACUGGAACUGAGACACGGUCCAGACACCUACGGGUGGCAGCAGUCGAGAAUCAUUCGCAAUGGGGGCAACCCUGACGGUGCGACGCCGCGUGGAGGAUGAAGGCCCUAGGGUCGUAAACUCCUGUCAUCAGGGAGUAAGGCUUUACGUAGUAACUGACGUAAAGAUUGAUAGUACCUGAAGAGGAAGGGACGGCUAACUUCGUGCCAGCAGCCGCGGUAAUACGAAGGUCCCAAGCGUUGUUCGGAUUUACUGGGCGUAAAGCGUCUGUAGGCGGCGAGGUAAGUCAGAUGUGAAAUCCCAGGGCUCAACCCUGGAACUGCAUCCGAUACUGCCUUGCUAGAGGGUCGGAGGGGAGUCUGGAAUUCUCGGUGUAGCAGUGAAAUGCGUAGAUAUCGAGAGGAACACUAGUGGCGAAGGCGAGACUCUGGACGACACCUGACGCUGAGAGACGAAGGCCAGGGUAGCGAAAAGGAUUAGAUACCCUUGUAGUCCUGGCAGUAAACGGUGCACGCUUGGUGUGCGGGGAAUCGACCCCCUGCGUGCCGGAGCUAACGCGUUAAGCGUGCCGCCUGGGGAGUACGGCCGCAAGGUUAAAACUCAAAGAAAUUGACGGGGACCCGCACAAGCGGUG